AAUAAAGUGCCUGACAAAAAGGAUUAUUCUGAUAGGAUAAAUUAUGUAAACAAUUUUACCUUUAUUA
rnacentral:tRNA from 1 species